rnacentral:rRNA from 1 species
UUUCCUACGGGAGGCAGCAGUGAGGAAUAUUGGUCAAUGGACGCAAGUCUGAACCAGCCAUGCCGCGUGCAGGAUGACGGCUCUAUGAGUUGUAAACUGCUUUUGUACGAGGGUAAACCCCGAUACGUGUAUCGGGUUGAAAGUAUCGUACGAAUAAGGAUCGGCUAACUCCGUGCCAGCAGCCGCGGUAAUACGGAGGAUCCGAGCGUUAUCCGGAUUUAUUGGGUUUAAAGGGUGCGCAGGCGGAGGUGCAAGUCAGUGGUCAAAUUGCGGGGCUCAACCCCGUACUGCCGUUGAAACUGCAU